UACGUAGGGUGCAAGCGUUGUCCGGAAUUAUUGGGCGUAAAGGGCUCGUAGGCGGCCAACUAAGUCGGAUGUGAAAUCCCCAGGCUUAACCUGGGAACUGCAUCCGAUACUGGAUGGCUUGAAUCCGGGAGAGGGAUGCAGAAUUCCAGGUGUAGCGGUGAAAUGCGUAGAUAUCUGGAGGAAUACCGGUGGCGAAGGCGGCAUCCUGGACCGGCAUUGACGCUGAGUGAGCGAAAGCUAGGGGAGCAAACGGG
rnacentral:rRNA from 1 species